rnacentral:lncRNA from 1 species
AUGAGUGGCUUUUCCAUUUCCAGGAAUAGCCCUCCUUGGCGAGGACACAGAAAACUCAUUGGUGAACCCCUGCUGGUGUGUCCGAUGGCUGGGCAUCACCGACCAGGUGGCCCAUUAGCUUCUCCCUGGGUGUAUAUGGUCUCAAAGUCUUUAGAGGAAAAGAGAAAGAAAAGGAAGGAAGAAAAGAAAGCAAGUAAGCACUCUCAUUUUUUCUAUUUUAUUAUUUUUGGGUUUUUUUUGCAGGGAAAGAUUCACUCUGAGCUAACAUCUGUUGUCAAUCUUCCUUUUAUGUUUUUCUUUCCUAAAGCCUCAGUGCAUGGUUGUAUAUCCUAGUUAUAAGUCCUUCUAGUUCUUCUAUGUGAGCUGCUGCCACAGCAUUGCAACUGACAGACGGGUAGUGUGGUUCCGCAACCAGGAAAUGAACCCAGGCUCCCUAAGUGGUGAGGGUGCUGAGCUUUAACCACUGGGUCGUCAAGGCUGGCUUCUACUUUAUUAAUGUAACUCAGAUCUCUGUUCCUGUUGCAAAAAACAAAACAAAAAAAGAGAGGAAUGAAGAGAUGGAGCUCUGAUCCAAAUGGAGAAAAAAAAUGUGUUUCCAGGAUUGGGUUACUUAGUGACUCCAGAGAGAUGAAAUAGCCACCCCCACCCAACCCCCAUGAAAAGAACUAGAAAUAUAGUCUGAGGAUUUUAUUUGUUGGGAAGGAUGGAUACAGCCCAGGAACAAUAUCUGUGUAUAACUAGGGAAAAACAUCUUUAGUGGUAAAGAUCCCUUAAACACCUAAAUCUCCCACAUCAAAUGGAAGGAGUACAUGAGAUUUUUGCAUAUGCAAAGCAAAUUUUAUUUACAUGAUAACCAAGGCAGUUCCUGUUGCUUCCUAAAUUAGGACUUCUGUUAAUACCAGAACCAAAAAAUAAAGGAAACCAAGCUAAUGCA